GCAAGUUCUGAUGUCUGCUUUUAUUGCAGAUUAUUUAGGCUAUGUUGAUUGAUAGUCUUGUUGUUUCUAUGGAAUCUUGAAAUACUCUCUUGGUGGCUUCAUGGUCAUGCGGUCCUCAUGGUCCUCCCUUUUCAAGUAGAAGUAGCUCUCCUGGAAGUCUUUGAACAGCAGUGUGACCCUGAAAUGAUAAAGAGUUCAAGUUGUGUUGGUCAGUUGAAUUGCCUUUCUUGGGCAUUAUUGAUAUUGUAGUUGAGCAAGGGUAGCUUUAAGCUACAACAUAAAGUGUUCGAUAAACAUUUAUUAUCAUAAUUUAAAAGUUAAGUUAAUUUUAUUCUACACUUCUAUAAUAAAAAGCUUAAAAUUUUACAGUUUUUUCUGAAUUAUUAUUGAAAAAUCAUAUUUAUCACACGUUAUGAAUUUUUAUUUUAUAACUGUAGACACAAUACCAUAGUGUCAGAGAAUCUUAGUGGAGAUGCAGGAGUCAUUGAUAUUAAUUGUAAAGCCCUGGUGAUAUAAUUGCCUGCACAUUAACUGUUGUGUUUCUUACAGCCAAGCCUUGAAGUUCUUUUCUUACAGCCAAGCCUAAAAGUUCUUCACUGCCUCAUUUGUCAUGCUCGAUGUUGUGUCUCCCUUUGUUGGUUGAUUUAGGCCUCUAUUAAUAUACAAAAAUGGUUUGGUGCUAAUAGAUACUUUACUUGCUUAACAAAAUUGAAUUAACAGAACUGAGCUUCUGAACUUGAUUUGAACAGAGACUCUGACCUCGAGCCAAUGAACAUAGGAUUAAUGCUAAAAGAUGCUAAAAUAGAGCCAUACUUGCCUCCAGUUUUCAAUUUCCAUAGUACAUGACCGAUCUUUGAAAUUCAACAUUUGAUGCUAUUGAUAGGACACUUGUCGACUUCUUCUCUUACGAAGAUCUUCAAGUACCAAAUGAGAUGUAUGAAAAUGCGUUCCUCGACUUGAUCUAAAUAAGAUCAAAA
rnacentral:lncRNA from 1 species